GAACCACUGUGCCACUGGCUAACAUGUCAGCAUCUGACAAAAAAAAAAAAAUUGAAAUGAAAACUGAAGCAAGCAUCGAUUGAACCUAACGACUGAAACAAGCCCUCCCUCUGAAUGAAAUUAGGGCUCCGACUGAAAUUAACCCUCCGACCGAGAGGUGUCCCCAAUGGUGCCCUCCGACCAAGAGGUGCCCUCAAACUAAAACUGAGAAGCAAGCAUUGAAGGAAGAAGGAAUUGGCUGCGGCACCGUCUCCAUUGGUGUCCCCAAACUCUCUCUCGACUUGAAGAUUGAUGUCAAGGGCAAGCGUGUCUCUGCCUCUCUCUCUCUAUGGGUGAUUUUUCUGUCAGGAACCAGAUCAGGACUCACUUUCUUCAACGAAGUUGGAGUCUUGUCCAAAGAUGGAGGGCAUUUAUGAGUUAAUUCGUGCACUGGCUUUACAUUAACUAAAUUUUUAGAUUAAAUGUUUUCUUGGACCUUUGACAUUGGAUUAUUAGUAUGGCAAGGGGUCCCUUCCUUGGAUGACUUCGUUGCCGAAUAGAGCAGGGAGAUGUCCUUGUGAACAUCCACCAAUGCUUCUGAAUCAUACACUUCCAUCUUGGAUAUUAUACUCUGAACAAGGCAGGGAGCCUUAAUGUAUUCACCAUUCAAGCUUACGUAUUUAGCAAAUUCAAUAGAAAUUGGCAUUUCCAA